UACGUAGGGUGCAAGCGUUGUCCGGAAUUAUUGGGCGUAAAGAGCUCGUAGGCGGUUUGUCGCGUCUGCUGUGAAAACUCGGGGCUUAACUCCGGGCCUGCAGUGGGUACGGGCAGACUAGAGUGCGGUAGGGGAGACUGGAAUUCCUGGUGUAGCGGUGAAAUGCGCAGAUAUCAGGAGGAACACCGGUGGCGAAGGCGGUUCUCUGGGACGGUACUGACGCUGAGACGCGAAAGCGUGGGGAGCGAACAGG
rnacentral:rRNA from 1 species